rnacentral:rRNA from 1 species
UAGCCGUAAACGAUACUCGCUAGGUGUCGGCCACGGUGCGACCGUUGUCGGUGCCGUAGGGAAGCCGUGAAGCGAGCCACCUGGGAAGUACGGCCGCAAGGCUGAAACUUAAAGGAAUUGGCGGGGGAGCACAACAACGGGUGGAGCUUGCGGUUUAAUUGGAUUCAACGCCGGAAAUCUUUACCGGGACCGACAGCAACAUGAAGGCCAAGCUGAAGACUUUGCCGGAUUAGCUGAGAGGAGGUGCAUGGCGUAGUCGUGU